GGCCGGAGGCUGAGGAGGCGCUGAGAGUGAGGGCUGCUAGCACAUUGUCACCUCUCAAUGGAGUCUCCUGUACCCAGGUUACCAGAGGUCUGUGGCAGAGUGAACCGUAUCUAUUCCACUCACCCAUUCCCCAGGAGCCGCUGAGUUCUCAUCUCCUGAAUUUUUGUCCUGCCCUGAGUUUUCACCUGAGGCCACCUGUACAACUGACUAGAGUAGUUCCACUGAUUUCUAAAAUGGAACAGGCAAGAUUGGUAUUGACUGUCCAAGAGCAAAGUCAGAUACAGGUAAGUGUAAAACAUCACUGGAAUUUGUCACCUUAGUUUCUUGUUUCAUAAUCAAGCUGACCACCAUCUGCUUUAUGAGGCAACUGCUCCCUGACUGCCUCACAGAAGUAGGCUUCAGUCGUCUCAUGGGUUUCUCAGAGGCCAGAGGUUUGCCAGGAAAAUGAAUUAUAUUUUUCUCAGCAUGUCUUCCUGAGAGAGUGGAUCUUGCAUGGGGAAGCAACGGUCUGUGAUAAAAUUCCCUGUCCUGCCUCCUGCUUCCUUACAAGAUCACCUGAUGCAAUGAUCAAACAUGGAGUUCCUCCAGUCCAGAAGAUGCAGCAACAAGGCCCUAUCUGGGAAAGAGAAACCAAGCCAUUACCAAACAUCACCUGCUGGCACCUUGAUCUUGAACUUCCAAGGCUACAGAACUGAGAAAUAAAUUUCUGUUUUGUAUAAA